AGGACUUCAUGCUUCAUGUGUUGGUCCCAACCCAACUUCCCACUGCUGCUCUUCUGACAAAUGAACAUGAUUCUGCUCUUACCUGCCUCUAUCUCGGUUGGAGCUGUCUCACGAUGCUGCCAACUUCCACAGCCUUCUGGAGAAACCAACUCAGCUACAGGUUGGAACGGGGGUAGGGAAUGAGAGUGUGCAGCUUUAUUCCAUCUGAGACAGGGGCCAUAUGUGCUCACAUCCACGCCUAUGUAUUUUUUCCUCACUAGUAGUUGUUAAGUUGUUAAUUCUGUUCUUGAU
rnacentral:lncRNA from 13 species